rnacentral:rRNA from 1 species
UACGUAGGGUGCGAGCGUUAAUCGGAAUUACUGGGCGUAAAGCGUGCGCAGGCGGUUCGUUAAGUCCGAUGUGAAAGCCCCGGGCUUAACCUGGGAACUGCAGUCGAUACUGGUGGACUAGAGUACGGUAGAGGGUGGCGGAACUCCGGGUGUAGCGGUGAAAUGCGUAGAUAUCCGGAAGAACACCGAUGGCGAAGGCAGCCACCUGGGCCUGUACUGACGCUGAGGUACGAAAGCGUGGGGAGCAAACAGG